UACAGAGGUCUCAAGCGUUGUUCGGAUUCAUUGGGCGUAAAGGGUGCGUAGGUGGCGCGGUAAGUCGGGUGUGAAAUUUCGGAGCUUAACUCCGAAACUGCAUUCGAUACUGCCGUGCUCGAGGACUGGAGAGGAGACUGGAAUUUACGGUGUAGCAGUGAAAUGCGUAGAGAUCGUAAGGAAGACCAGUGGCGAAGGCGGGUCUCUGGACAGUUCCUGACACUGAGGCACGAAGGCCAGGGGAGCAAACGGG
rnacentral:rRNA from 1 species